rnacentral:rRNA from 1 species
UACAGAGGGUGCAAGCGUUGUUCGGAAUUACUGGGCGUAAAGCGCGUGUAGGCGGUCUGAUAAGUCGGUCGUGAAAGCCCUUGGCUUAACCAAGGAACUGCGAUCGAAACUAUUAGACUAGAGUAUCGGAGGGGAUGGUGGAAUUCCCGGUGUAGAGGUGAAAUUCGUAGAUAUCGAGAGGAACACCUGCGGCGAAGGCGGGUAGCUGGGCCGACACUGACGCUGAGGCACGAAAGCGUGGGGAGCAAACAGG